rnacentral:tRNA from 1 species
UGCCCUAUAAGCUAAAUGGCUAGCAAUUAA